AUCUAUAAGAACGAUAUCAAAACCAGAGACAUGGGCCAGAAGUCCUCCGUUCUCCAGCUGUAGAUGUCUUGCCUGGGAAACCUGGGAAAUAAUGCAAAGAUUGUUUGUAUUAUUUAAUAUGGAGUUCAUGUAUACCCUCUCGGCAUCUAAGGUAAUCUAAAGUCCAUUUUGCUAAAAAAACAAAACAAAACAAACAAACAAACAAACAAACAGCCUAAGAAAGUACAAAGAGCUUUUCAGGAUAACAUACUUGGUCACAUUUUAUCUAUAGUAUAUGGUGGCUGGGUUUCCAGUCCAUAUUUCUUCUCUCUCCAAAGAGGUUUUUGUUUUACGUGGUGCAUCUGUCUCCUGCCACCCUUGGCAGCCUCUUCUCAGCCUUAUGGUUUCAGUGGCCACCCAGAAACGGAUAAGUUAAAGAAAGCGUUUCAAAUCUUAGAACAGUCAUUAUUCUUCAUGGUAGUUAUGUUCUAGAAUAUGACUUUAAGUCAGAAUUAGCCAAUGUUGAACCUUUGUUCCCAAGAAAAACACACAAUGAUAUUCCUCUGAGAUUCAGAUACAAACACUUUCAUGAGUUGAACAGUGCAUAACUUAGGUUAGAAGAGUUUCUGUCUAAAGAUGAGUUGAUUUGUAUUAUUAUGGACUUAUUGCCAUCAAACUUGAAAGCAGCAGCUCUAAAUGAAGCCUCUCCGACUCACAUCACAGCCUUCUUCGUUCCCCACCAUUAGGCUCUUUCCAGCAUGCUCAAGGGCCAUUUGAAACAGGGACAUCACCAACCAAAGAGUACAUAAAUGAGAAAAAAAGUGUGACACUAAUAGACUGCAAAAGGGACAUGUUCACAGUUUGAGAGCUGAUGAGACAUGUUCGUGGUAUGAGCGCUGGGCAAAAAAAAAAAAAAAAGUCAAAGUGUCAUCAGAUUGUCACACCUUGGAUAGGGAUGUCCACACUGGGCAACUCUACUUGUUGUAGAGUGGCUGUAAAGGUGUCAUGAGUAUUGGUCCUUCAGUACUAGAUUUGAGCAAGUAGGGAAAGGCACAGACACAGAAUCCACCAAUAGUGAGGACUUGCAGUGUUCUCAUUCCCCAGUGAGCUCUUGCUCCCUUUCAUUCUUUGUCAUUGACAGCAGCCUGUUAGGUGGCCUCCAGGAACCCCUGUCUCCUGGUCUUCCUUCCAGGAAAAUGGCGUUGGUAAUGACAAUCCCCCUGUUUGAGGUGCUAGACUUAUUUUUUUAAUACAAUGUGGCUUAAGGUGAUAGAAUAUCAGUUUUAAGACUGAGUUACAAAAGCUCCUAAUUCAUCUCCCUCCCCAUCUUUCUCCCCACUCUCCCCUCAUUCCCUCUCCCUGCUCUGUGAGAAACCAGCUAACACCUUUCCAACUUCUCUAUGGAAAAGCUAACAAAAUGGAUUAAGAGAGAUGAUAGGAAAAUGAGACUCUCCACACUAUAGCAGCAACAAACAAUUCUGCCAACAGCCUCUUGAGUGAGCAGAUCUUCCCUCUGGCAAGACUUCAGAUACAUGAAGAUCAGUAGCCCCUGUACUGCGAUCCUGACCUUAGGGCUGAGUUUGAAAUAUGUGUAUGGUGGUGAAGGGUUGAUCAAAGAUGAUGGCUGGAAGAUCUUUCCCAUAUGAACACUUCAGACAUCUCAAGUUUGCUUUCCUAUCAGUCAAACUAACGGGGAUGAAUGCAAAAUGAGAGAGCACUAAGCUCAUGGUCAUCUCCAAACCAGUGCAUCCGGGAUGAAGAUCCACGGAUUCUGAUCCUUGUCCAGAGUACCAUUCCCCAAGCUACUUCCCCAUGCCAGACUUUGAAGUGUGUCAUCUCAGGGUAAAAUGAUGGUUGGCCAUUGUGUCUGUCUUCUCCCCCUCCCAA